UUCAAUAACAAAAUGAGCAAUGUAAAUA
rnacentral:piRNA from 1 species